GGCCAACCUACCCUAGGGAGGUAGAUAACCCCUGGGAAACUGGGGUUAAACUACCAUAGGAGGCGGGAUCUGGAAAGACCCGCCUCUGAAAGUGGUGUACGGGGAUGCCUGUACACCAGCCCUAGGAUGGGGCUGCGGCCCAUCAUGGUUGUUGGUGGGGUAACGGCCCACCAAGCCUAUAACGGGUACGGGCCCUGAGAGGGGGAGCCCGGAGAUGGACUCUGAGACAAGAGUCCAGGCCCUACGGGGCGCAGCAGGCGCGAAAACUCCCCAAUGCCCGAAAGGGUGAGGGGGUCACCCCGAGUGCCACCCUCGCGGUGGCUUUUGCGGGGUCUAAAAAGCCCCGCGAAUAAGGGGAGGGCAAGACGGGUGUCAGCCGCCGCGGUAAUACCCGCUCCCCGAGUGGUGGGGACUAUUACUGGGCUUAAAGCACCCGUAGCCGGCCGGAUGUGUCUCCCGUUAAAUCCACGGGCCUAACCCGUGGGCUGCGGGAGAUACUAUCCGGCUUGGGGGUGGGAGAGGGCGGCGGUAUUCCCGGGGUAGGGGUAAAAUCCACUGAUCCCGGGAGGACCACCGGUGGCGAAGGCGGCCGCCCAGAACACGCCCGACGGUGAGGGGUGAAAGCUGGGGGAGCAAACGGGAUUAGAUACCCCCGGUAGUCCCAGCUGUAAAUGAUGCGGGCUAGGUGUCGGGUGGGCUACGGGCUCACCCGGUGCCGAAGGGAAACCAUUA
rnacentral:rRNA from 1 species